rnacentral:rRNA from 1 species
AUGUUCUCAUUGCAGUCUCGAGCUCGCGUCAACAACAUCCGGGUUGCUCUCUCCACGGCGCAGAAGGGGACGCAAUCUGUUGCUACCUACUUCGCCCAGAUGAGAGCACUCGCCGAUGAGCUCGCAGCCGCCGGAAAGCCCAUCGAUGACGAUGAGCUUGUCUCCUACAUCACCGCCGAACUCAACAUGGAGUACCAGCCCCUCGUCUCCGCCAACGACGCGCGCACCGACACCAUCAGCAUCGAUGAUCUCUACGCUCAGAUGAGCAACUUUGAUCAGCGCCUUGCCCUCUACAACAACAACUCGGGC